CAGUCGCCGCGGUAAAACGAAGGGUGCAAGCGUUACUCGGAAUUACUGGGCGUAAAGUGUGCGUAGGUGGUGGUUUAAGUCCGUUGUGAAAGCCCUGGGCUCAACCUGGGAAUUGCAGUGGAUACUGGGUCACUAGAGUGCGGUAGAGGAUAGUGGAAUUUCCGGUGUAGCAGUGAAAUGCGUAGAGAUCGGAAGGAACAUCUGUGGCGAAGGCGACUAUCUGGGCCAACACUGACACUGAGGCACGAAAGCGUGGGGAGCAAACAGGAUUAGAUACCCCCGUAGUCCCUGUCUCUUAUAC
rnacentral:rRNA from 1 species